GACGAACCGUGCGAACGUUAUUCGGAAUCACUGGGCUUAAAGGGCGCGUAGGCGGCCAACUAAGUCCGACGUGAAAUCCCCAGGCUUAACCUGGGAACUGCGUCGGAUACUGGAUGGCUUGAGUUCGGGAGAGGGAUGCGGAAUUCCAGGUGUAGCGGUGAAAUGCGUAGAUAUCUGGAGGAACACCGGUGGCGAAGGCGGCAUCCUGGACCGACACUGACACUGAGGAGCGAAAGCCAGGGGAGCAAACGGG
rnacentral:rRNA from 1 species